CUGUCCAUCCAUCCAUCCAUCCAUCCAUCCACAUUUUACCCUUUUUAAGGAACUUUAUUUCAAGUGAUACUUCCCUAGAAGUGGCCCCGUUACCAUGGAGCCUUCUUAAAGGCACUUUAAGGAAUUUGCUUGAUUGUCAUUGUAGAUGUCUUGUUUUUUACA